rfam:Chromohalobacter salexigens DSM 3043, complete genome.
CGGGGUAUAGCGCAGUCUGGUAGCGCGCCUGCUUUGGGAGCAGGAUGUCGGGGGUUCAAAUCCCUCUACCCCGA